GGGUGCGAUCAUACCAGCACUAAUGCACCGGAUCUCAUCGGAACACCGCAGUGAAGCGUACUUAGGGGAGAGUAGUACUAGGAUGGGUGACCUCGUGGGAAGUACUCGUGUUGCACCCC
rnacentral:rRNA from 1 species